AGCGAACGCUAGCGGCAGGCUUAACACAUGCAAGUCGAGCGCCAGGUUUCGGCCUGGAGCGGCGAACGGGUGAGUAACACGCAGGUCACGUACCUUAUGGUGGGGAAUACCCCGGGGAAACUCGGAUCAAUGCCCCAUAUGUCCGAAAGGAUGAAAGCGCUUCGGCGCGCCAGAGGAUCGGCCUGCGGCCCAUUAUUUAAUCCUAGUUGGUGAGGUAACGGCUCACCAAGGGUACGAUGGGUAGCUGGUCUGAGAGAACGAUCAGCCACACUGGAAAUGAGACACGGUCCAGACUCCUACGGGAGGCAGCAGUAGGGAAUAUUGGACAAUGGGCGAAAGCCUGAUCCAGCCAUGCCGCGUGAGUGAUGAAGGCCUUCGGGUUGUAAAGCUCUGUCGUGGGGGAAGAAGUUCUGACGGUACCCCACAAGAAAGCACCGGCUAACUCCGUGCCAGCCGCCGCUGUAA
rnacentral:rRNA from 1 species